UGAGGAAUAUUGGUCAAUGGACGGAAGUCUGAACCAGCCAAGUAGCGUGCAGGAUGACGGCCCUAUGGGUUGUAAACUGCUUUUAUACGGGGAUAAAGUUAGGGACGUGUCCCUAUUUGCAGGUACCGUAUGAAUAAGGACUGGCUAAUUCCGUGCCAGCAGCCGCGGUAAUACGGAAGGUCCAGGCGUUAUCCGGAUUUAUUGGGUUUAAAGGGAGCGUAGGCUGGAGAUUAAGUGUGUUGUGAAAUGUAGACGCUCAACGUCUGAAUUGCAGCGCAUACUGGUUUCCUUGAGUACGCACAACGUUGGCGGAAUUCGUCGUGUAGCGAUGAAAUGCUUAGAUAUGACGAAGAACUCCGAUUGCGAAGGCAGCUGACGGGAGCGCAACUGACGCUUAAGCUCGAAGGUGCGGGUAUCAAACAGG
rnacentral:rRNA from 1 species